GCCAACAUGCCUGUUCCUAGUCCGUGAGUAUAGAGAAUCGGAAAAUAAACUCAUGGUCAUGGAUGCGCGUGGUCACAUCAGAGAGAAUUCACCUUCCAAAUCAGCAUUCAAUAUUUCAGGGUUCCUGUGGAGAACAACCGACCCAAUGUCAUCGUCGAAGGGUCAAGCAGCGACAAGCAGUUUCCACUCUCUCCUUCACCAGCACAAAUGAUAAAAGCACUGAAAUGUGAGGACCCAAGAUUCUGGGAUGUGAACGGAGCCUGUUUGCACUUCCAAGGAUGUCUUUUUGGUCACAGUUGGCAGGAAAUUCUUAAAAACCACAGAACAAAGUUGCGACCAAACGUUUGCGGCGCGUCACAGGUCACGGACUGAGGAACUACGAUCUCACCUUCUUUUUUCAUCAUCCUUGCCCUCGUGGACCACUUUACUCAGUUGAGCGAUUGAAUAGAAUAAGUAAUUGUAGCCUUGGCAUCACCGGUCAUCUUCAUUUCUAAAGUGUUUUAGAAGGUUUAAUUUAAGUUAAUAACACAAUCCACCCUGACUGGUGUCAAAGACGUCACCUGCAGUACUUGGCAGUGGCCAAAGAGUGAAAGCGAAAUAUACCAACUGACUGAAGAAAUAAAGUCUAUGAAUUAA